GGCCCGGUAGCUCAGCGGAUUUAGAGCAACGGUCUUCGGAACCGUAGGUCGGGGGUUCGAAUCCCUCCCGGGUCGCCA
rnacentral:tRNA from 1 species